UACGGGGGGGGCAAGCGUUGUUCGGAAUUACUGGGCGUAAAGGGCUCGUAGGCGGCCAACUAAGUCAGACGUGAAAUCCCUCGGCUUAACCGGGGAACUGCGUCUGAUACUGGAUGGCUCGAGUUUGGGAGAGGGAUGCGGAAUUCCUGGUGUAGCAGUGAAAUGCGUAGAUAUCAGGAGGAAUACCGAUGGCGAAGGCAGGUCUCUGGGCUGACACUGACGCUCAUGCACGAAAGCGUGGGGAGCAAACAGG
rnacentral:rRNA from 1 species